UACGUAGGGGGCAAGCGUUAUCCGGAUUUACUGGGUGUAAAGGGAGCGUAGGCGGCAAGGUAAGCCAGAAGUGAAAGCCCGUGGCUCAACCGCGGAACUGCUUUGGAAACUGUAUAGCUUGAGUACUGGAGAGGCAGGCGGAAUUCCUAGUGUAGCGGUGAAAUGCGUAGAUAUUAGGAGGAACACCAGUGGCGAAGGCGGCCUGCUGGACGAUGACUGACGUUGAGGCUCGAAAGCGUGGGGAGCAAACAGG
rnacentral:rRNA from 1 species